UCAGAGGUCGCGUUCCAAACUGGUAGCUCAGCUUCAGGUUGCUCUGGCAGAUUUUGUCAAUGCCGCAUCCUUCUCGCAGGAAGUUCACCUAAAGAGGAUGAAUCAGAGACAGACUGUUUGGUCUGACGAAACAAGAUACUUGAAGGUGUCAUCAUGGAUUCUGGGAAAGUACUGUAUUUCACUGAGGAGCAUGCAAGACCUCAGAGUGCAGUGUGUUGGAGGGGGAAACAUUCAGGACAGGCGCCAGCUUCUCCAGCCUCUUGGCACCUGAGUGUCUGCGUGGUGGCACAGGCUUGAUAGUGUGGGUUAUUGCCAACGUAAUGGGACGCAGUUUGUCA